rnacentral:rRNA from 1 species
GACAGAGGGUGCAAACGUUGUUCGGAAUUACUGGGCGUAAAGCGCGUGUAGGCUGCUCAGCAAGUCGGAUGUGAAAGCCCUGGGCUCAACCUAGGAAGUGCACUCGAAACUGCAGAGCUUGAGUCUCGGAGAGGGUCGCGGAAUUCUCGGUGUAGAGGUGAAAUUCGUAGAUAUCGGGAGGAACACCAGUGGCGAAGGCGACUACCUGGCCUGUUCUUGACGCUGAGGCGCGAAAGCUAGGGGAGCAAACGGG